UACGUAGGGUGCGAGCGUUGUCCGGAAUUAUUGGGCGUAAAGGGCUCGUCGGCGGUUUGUCGCGUCGGGAGUGAAAUCAUCUGGCUUAACUGGGUGCUUGCUUUCGAUACGGGCAGACUAGAGGUAUGCAGGGGAGAACGGAAUUCCCGGUGUAGCGGUGAAAUGCGCAGAUAUCAGGAGGAACACCGGUGGCGAAGGCGGAUCUCUGGGCCUUACCUGACGCUGAGGCGCGAAAGCUAGGGGAGCGAACAGG
rnacentral:rRNA from 1 species